GACGAACCGUGCGAACGUUGUUCGGAAUCACUGGGCUUAAAGGGCGCGUAGGCGGGCUCGCAAGUCAGGGGUGAAAUCCCAGGGCUCAACCCUGGAACUGCCUUUGAUACUGACGAUCUGGAGAUCGGGAGAGGUUGGUGGAAUUCCGAGUGUAGAGGUGAAAUUCGUAGAUAUUCGGAGGAACACCAGAAGCGAAGGCGGCCAACUGGCCCGAUACUGACGCUGAGGCGCGAAAGCGUGGGGAGCAAACAGG
rnacentral:rRNA from 1 species